GCUCCCGUGGCUCAGUUGGCUAGAGCGUCCGACUGUUAAUCGGAAGGUCGGCAGUUCAACCCUGCCCGGGUGCG